GUUUUGUUCCGAAGCAAAGAUAUCCACGGAGGCCAGUUCGUUCGUCCUAUUCUGAUAUUCAGGACCAAGAGGUACUGGAUUCUCUUUCGGAUAGGCCCUGAAAGGAGAAGAAAGGCUGAAAUACCAACGGACCUCUGUCUAUUCUCUAAUUCACCCGAUCCGAUAGUACCCGUUUUUGGAACGUCCAAUGCCAAAGUCACUGAAUGGGUAAGUCACCAAUCCAAUCCCUUUGACAAAUCGGAUGUCAUAUUAGAUAUCAUCCGAUUCUCCUUCUAUUGA
rnacentral:rRNA from 1 species